UACGUAGGGGGCAAGCGUUGUCCGGAAUCAUUGGGCGUAAAGAGCGCGUAGGCGGCCCAGUAAGUCCGCUCUGAAAGUCAGAGGCUCAACCUCUGAAUGCGGGUGGAUACUGCUGGGCUAGAGUCCGGAAGAGGCGAGUGGAAUUCCUGGUGUAGCGGUGAAAUGCGCAGAUAUCAGGAAGAACACCCGUGGCUAAGGCGGCUCUCUAGUACGGUACUGACGCUGAGACGCGAAAGCGUGGGGAGCGAACGGG
rnacentral:rRNA from 1 species